rnacentral:miRNA from 1 species
CAGCCAAGGAUGAUUUGCCGA